rnacentral:lncRNA from 1 species
GAAAGAAUAGGGUGCCCCGAAAAGAGGUAUGCGUUUGCACUGGGGCCACCGCUUGCUGUGUGCGGCUGGCCUUGAGCAAGCCAUUCAGCAUAUCUGAAAUUCGGUUUUCCUUUGUGAAGUACCUAUAGCACCGUCCACCUCACUGACCCAGUAGUGGGCCUGGCGCGUGGUGGGUGUUGCGUCUACCUGCAUUAAUAUGAACCGUCUUCACUAAUUCCCACCCGAUCGGAAGGGUCAGCUUUAAGAGGGCGGUGAUUACUGCGUUGUCCAUAAAACAAAAGAUUUUUGUGUUUCCGUGUUCAGGCUGUUAAUAGCACCUUCUCUUUUCUUAGGGUGUGUUUCAUAACCCAACGAGGGGCUUUGGAAGAAAGGGUGGCCAAGGGCUCAUCUGUGACCCUCAGCCUCAUGAGAAUUGUGGGAAGUUUUCUCUACCCUGGCACCUACCUCACUCUUUACUGGAAGACCCGUAUAGGACCGCACGCACAGUUUUUGCUGCCCCUCUCCAGAAUUUUUCACCUCGUGGGACAUUGCUGUGACCAUCAUGGGAGGAUGGCCUGAACCCUGGAGAGAAGUUAGCCUCCAAUAGCUUGAAGGAGACUGACAAGGACCAUCUCCUGGAAGGAAGAAAAGAAAGUGCUAAUGUGGCACGGGUGAGGGACUGACCUAAGUUUUUUUCACAAGUGAGCUCAUCUGAGGGGCUGAGGCUGUAGCUCAAUGGUAAAGUGCUUGCCUCUCAUGUGUGAGGCAUUGGGUUCAAUCCUCAGCACCACGUAAAAAUAAAGAUACAAGUGAGCUCAUCUGAGUCCAUAAGGGUGUUGUGAGCUAGGUGGAACAUUUGAUAUAAGGAAAUUGGUUCAUCAGGUUAAAAUAGGUCACCUCAUAUCUCAUAGCAAGGAUGACAUAGAGCCAUACUCUUGGAGACUCCACUGCAGUUGUGUUCUAGGGUUCUGGCAAGAAAGGAUCAUCUGGUCAAGUCUCCCUCACAGUCUUGAGAUGCUAGGGACCAUAUUAGAGGGUAUGAACGAAGGCAUCUUACACUAUGGCCUACCCCUCCAAGUUCUCAGCCGUUUGUCUCAGAACAAAACCACACUAGGUAGCCAGGUGUUCAGGCGUAUGCCUGUAAUCCCUGCUACUUGGGAGGCUGAGGGAGGGAGAUUGCAAGACCAGCCAAAACAAUUUAGUGAGAUCCUGUCUCAAAAAAGGGCUGGGGAUAUAGCUUAGUGGUUAAGUGCACCCAUGUUCUAUCCCUGGUACCAGAAAAACAACAACAACAAAAAUAAAAUAAAACACAUUAAACCAUGCGGGGUGGCUUUAUGCUUGUAAUCCCAGCAGUUUGGCAGUUUGGGAGACUGAGACAGGAGCAUUGCAAGUUCAAAGCCAGCCUCAGCAAAAGUGAGGUGCUAAGCAACUCAGUGAGACCCUUUCUCUAAGUAAAAUACAAAAUAGCACCGGGGAUGUGGCUCAGUGGCCUAGUGCCCCUGAGUUCAAUCUCUGGUACAAAAAAGAACAAAAAAAAAACCCACAUAAGUAACAGAUGAAGGAGGGCAUUUGAGGUAGAAUCCCCAAAAGGCAGAGGAGAGGCAACCCUCCCCCACUCUUCCUUGGUCUUGGAGGGGUUAAUGAAAGGAGUCCUGUGUAUCAGAGUUGGGCCUUUUUUUAGCACCAUCUGGCAGGAGUCACCUCUCCUGCACCUGCUACUUAUACAAACCAUUGCUCCUUUGCCAGUCAGCAGUGCAGAGAUGUGAUGCCUGUGUAAUUUGGAUUCAGUGGCCCCCAGGGUCAGUAUGUUCUUUGUUUCAUGUUCUGAAAAUGGAAGCCCCUACUUGCUGUUGAGUUGUAUGUGGAACCGAAGGGACAAGAGAAAGUCAACAGAGGCAGAAGUCUCUCUCUCCCACCCUCCAAUCUCAAAACUUGGCUGAAGUAUGAGAAAGAGAAACUUCCAAGGCAAACAAAUGAAGGCCUAAGUAUUUAGGAAUAGUUCUUCAAAGCACAGGGCUUUGUAGGUAGGUACUUCUUAGUUCUGAACAGGUAGCUUCUAUGUUUCAGAUCAAAACAGUGCAUGAAACUGGUUGACCCAGGGACCCUUGGAAUUGAGUGAGGUUUUCCCUUCCUUUCUUUGCUGCCAAAGCAGCUUUUCCUGUCCUAAAUUAGCUGACAUACUUAUUGAGACCUACAAAGUGUGGACCCUCAGGAACUUGCAGACAAGUGAGGGGCUGGAGAGUGACUAUAAUUUAGGUUAAGUCUACUCAGUUGUGUUAUGAACCAGUUUGAAGAAGUGAACAGAAGGGGUCUGGUCAUCCUCAGAAGUAUAGAAGUGAGGGCUGGGGAUGUGGCUCAAGCGGUAGCGUGCUCGCCUAGCAUGCGUGCGGCCCUGGUUCGAUCCUCAGCACCACAUACAAACAAAGAUGUUAUGUCCGCCGAGAAAUAAAAUAUUUAAAUAUUAAAAUUCUCUCUCUCUCUCUCUCUCUCAUCUCUCUCUUAAAAAAAAAAAAA